rnacentral:rRNA from 1 species
GAUGAACGCUGGCGGCGUGCCUAAUACAUGCAAGUCGAGCGAACAGAUGAGGAGCUUGCUCCUCUGACGUUAGCGGCGGACGGGUGAGUAACACGUGGAUAACCUACCUAUAAGACGGGGGGAACUUCGGGAAACCGGAGCUAAUACCGGAUAAUAUAUUGAACCGCAUGGAUCAAUAGUGAAACACGGUUUGGCUGUCUCUUAGAGAUGAAUCCGCGCCGCAUUAGCUAGUUGGUAAGGUAACGGCCUACCAAGGCAACGAUGCGUAGCCGACCUGAGAGGGUGAUCGGCCACACUGGAACUGAGACACGGUCCAGACUCCUACGGGAGGCAGCAGUAGGGAAUCUUCCGCAAUGGGCGAAAGCCUGACGGAGCAACGCCGCGUGAGUGAUGAAGGUCUUCGGAUCGUAAAGCUCUGUUAUUAGGGAAGAACAAAUGUGUAAGUAACUAUGCACGUCUUGACGGUACCUAAUCAGAAAGCCCCGGCUAACUACGUG